AGAACGGGAAGGAGAAGUUCAGAAUUUCAAAGACCCAGGGGGUGGAGGAGACAGAAACCCAGAAAGAGGGACAGAGACCUGGGGGUGUCAGAGAUCCAGGCAGAGACCCCUGCACUGCACCCAGCACAUCCGGGCAUCCAUGAGAAACACCCUCUCCCUUUCCCCCAGGAUCCAGAUGCUCCGUGCUGCUUUCUUCCUCUGCCAGGCCUACCCACCUCGAGGCUGGAGUGCAAUGGCAUGCCCUUGUCUCACUGCAACCUCUGCCUCCCAGGUUCAAGCGAUUCUCCUGCCUUGGCCUUCCAGGUAGGUAGCUUCUGCCCGCCACCAUGCCCAGCCAAUUUUUAAAAAUAAUUUUAGUAGAGAUGGGGUUUCACCAUGUUGGCCAGGCUGGUCUCGAACUCCUGACCUCAAGUCAGCACCCACCUCGGCCUCCCAAAGUGCUGGGAUUACAGGCAUGAGCCAUGGUGCUGGCCAUCAGGCUGGAUGAUUGAUCUAUAUCUUUUCCAGUGUAAGGUAAAGGUUGGGACACGGAAGAGGGGUAGAAACCUGAUUCCAGCUCCCCGCCCGGGGCUGAACUCUCCAGCAUCCUGAUCACUUCUCAUUCAACCUUGCUUGUACUCCCCCUGGGAUGGGUGGCUCAUUACCUCAAAGCAGAAUAUUCCAAGCCAACCCCUGUGUUCUCUCACCAAGUAAGAUUUCCCAUUUGAACCCCAGAUCCCUGAAGGUCUUCUGUGGAUCAUAUUGUCAGGUCCCCCAGCCAGCGGCUUGCAUGUUCUAGGUUCUAUCCUCCCCAACCCACAUCUGGAAAUGUCCCCUCCCCCUCUCCAGGAUGAGCAAGGUGGUGUCCUCUGAGACUGAGUAGUCAGCAAUUUAACCCCAAGGGCCACCAAUGAUCAUAUCCAUGAGAGUUGAUCUGAGGAGUUAUGUAUUAGGACUAAGAAACAGUAAACGCUCAGUAAAUAUUG